rnacentral:rRNA from 1 species
CGGGACACGUGGUAUCCUGUCUGAAUAUGGGGGGACCAUCCUCCAAGGCUAAAUACUCCUGACUGACCGAUAGUGAACCAGUACCGUGAGGGAAAGGCGAAAAGAACCCCGGCGAGGGGAGUGAAAAAGAACCUGAAACCGUGUACGUACAAGCAGUGGGAGCACAGAGCAAUCUGUGUGACUGCGUACCUUUUGUAUAAUGGGUCAGCGACUUAUAUUCUGUAGCAAGGUUAACCGAAUAGGGGAGCCGAAGGGAAACCGAGUCUUAACUGGGCGUUAAGUUGCAGGGUAUAGACCCGAAACCCGGUGAUCUAGCCAUGGGCAGGUUGAAGGUUGGGUAACACUAACUGGAGGACCGAACCGACUAAUGUUGAAAAAUUAGCGGAUGACUUGUGGCUGGGGGUGAAAGGCCAAUCAAACCGGGAGAUAGCUGGUUCUCCCCGAAAGCUAUUUAGGUAGCGCCUCGUGAAUUCAUCUCCGGGGGUAGAGCACUGUUUCGGCAAGGGGGUCAUCCCGACUUACCAACCCGAUGCAAACUGCGAAUACCGGAGAAUGUUAUCACGGGAGACACACGGCGGGUGCUAACGUCCGUCGUGAAGAGGGAAACAACCCAGACCGCCAGCUAAGGUCCCAAAGUCAUGGUUAAGUGGGAAACGAUGUGGGAAGGCCCAGACAGCCAGGAUGUUGGCUUAGAAGCAGCCAUCAUUUAAAGAAAGCGUAAUAGCUCACUGGUCGAGUCGGCCUGCGCGGAAGAUGUAACGGGGCUAAACCAUGCACCGAAGCUGCGGCAGCGACGCUUAUGCGUUGUUGGGUAGGGGAGCGUUCUGUAAGCCUGCGAAGGUGUGCUGUGAGGCAUGCUGGAGGUAUCAGAAGUGCGAAUGCUGACAUAAGUAACGAUAAAGCGGGUGAAAAGCCCGCUCGCCGGAAGACCAAGGGUUCCUGUCCAACGUUAAUCGGGGCAGGGUGAGUCGACCCCUAAGGCGAGGCCGAAAGGCGUAGUCGAUGGGAAACAGGUUAAUAUUCCUGUACUUGGUGUUACUGCGAAGGGGGGACGGAGAAGGCUAUGUUGGCCGGGCGACGGUUGUCCCGGUUUAAGCGUGUAGGCUGGUUUUCCAGGCAAAUCCGGAAAAUCAAGGCUGAGGCGUGAUGACGAGGCACUACGGUGCUGAAGCAACAAAUGCCCUGCUUCCAGGAAAAGCCUCUAAGCAUCAGGUAACAUCAAAUCGUACCCCAAACCGACACAGGUGGUCAGGUAGAGAAUACCAAGGCGCUUGAGAGAACUCGGGUGAAGGAACUAGGCAAAAUGGUGCCGUAACUUCGGGAGAAGGCACGCUGAUAUGUAGGUGAAGCGACUUGCUCGUGGAGCUGAAAUCAGUCGAAGAUACCAGCUGGCUGCAACUGUUUAUUAAAAACACAGCACUGUGCAAACACGAAAGUGGACGUAUACGGUGUGACGCCUGCCCGGUGC